CUCUACUCUCGUGGUCAGAUGGUAUAUACUCAAGGGUAUGUAUCCAGUACAGAGAGGAUAAAGGGGCUUAUUUCCAUGCCAUAAGGCAAAAAAUAUAUUUGUUGUGAAUGCUGAAAGUAAUCUUUUUAUAGAUAAAAUCCGCAACGCACAA
rnacentral:ncRNA from 1 species